ACAACAGAGUCUCCGGCGUCUUCACACCCCCUCCAAUUACACAAGUUAAAUCCACCCCAGGUGCUUCAAAAUGUUCGAUGAGUGGCAAAAUGCGAGAUUCGUAAGGAUAAACACCUUCCUCAAAUCCAAUAUCCUUCAGAAAACGAGGUAUUUCCUCCACUGUGUAGUUAUAAUAUUGAGUCAUUACUAUCGGCUUAUUGUGUUUGUAGAUUGUGGGGUUGGGCAAUAGCCAUAGAUUGCUUUCAGAACUCCGUUGCUCUGUUCUAACACGCAAUGGAUCGACGAGUGGGACGCCGAGUGUGUUCCCUGAUGCGAAUGUGCGCAUCCCUUCCACUGAUCCACCCCAUGGUGUAGACAAGGUCACAAGGUGUUUGAUGAAGUGCCUACGCCAAGAGGGUGUGUUUCGAUUGAGAAAUUGGAGGGCGAAAAGUCCCCCUAAGCUAUGAGUCACCAGUAUUACUGAUUUCCCCCCAUUUGAAUUGCUUGCUUUCUCCACCAAUUCUUUUAGAUCCUUGAGGAACUUGGAACCCACUUCACAGGGAUGACCUUCUGGAGCCAAACCAUAUCGAAAAUCAUAGGGUGCUCCGAAUAGGGUCUUGUCUCUAACGUACCCAAUUGCUUCUAAAGAAUUCACCAGCCCGGCCAUAUAUGUUGUGAUCUUCCUGCCAAUAGAAAAAGGCAACCAAUCACAAGCAAUAUUAGAAGCUAUGAAGCGCGUACACUUCAUGUGAAAUAGAGAAUUAAUAUGAAAUACGUAUUAGAUACUGAUAUUCUGAGAUACUUCUUAAAUAUAUUCAGUACACGACUCAGGGUAUCUAUUUUUCUUUUUAUAGAUAUUGGUUAUGGCAUCACCUUCUAUAACUAACCUGUGUAAAAAGUCCACUGCCCAAGUAAAAAAUUGAAAACCAAUCAUGUAAUCUUCGUGCCCUAGUCCCCGCAAAGUUGUGCAAAAAAUAACCCACUUGAUUAACUUCAAGGAAGAAGUUUUUCCUUUAGGUUCGUACUAAUCCCUCUAAUCUUCUUCUUCUCUAUUGAUUUGAUUCCAGGGUAUCAGCAACCUUUUCUAUUGUAUUAUUGCUGCUUUUUGUAUUGUAUUUCAGCGUUUAUAUUAUAUUUAGUAUUAUUAUCUUUAACUUGACAUUUUAUGUUUUCGAGUGGAUUGCAUUUAGUAUUUCAAGUUAAAUUUACAUAUUUCCUAGAUUUUUUUCUUUAAAAGUAUAUUCAAAGAAUCCGUAUCCUAGUCUUUGAGGUAUUGACAUAUCAUCGUAGCCUAAUACAUAUCUCUGUGUUUGACUUUGUGCUACAUAGAUUUCUAGAAAGCUUACUUGAGAUUGGGAUCGAGGUAGAGAAGAGACUGGACUGAUCCAAACUGAUUGACUCUAGUUUGAACACCAAUUUCAUUUCUGUAAUCAUCCGAAUCUUUGUCAUAAUGAAGUGUCAUCCGGUGAGCAAAGCAAUCUGUGUAUGGAGCCAACAGAACAGUAGGGCUGAACCAAAGCCUGAACCAAC
rnacentral:lncRNA from 1 species